GGAUAAUCAACUAACUUGCAGAAAACUUUGAGCAUUAAACACUUAUUUUCCUGCAUUCUGGUGAAUUUUAUGCACCAAUUUCUACCUUUUUCUGCAUCA